rnacentral:rRNA from 1 species
AUGAAGUUACCGAUACCCGGCUUCCAGGAAAAGCCACUAAGCGAAAGGCUUUACUAAACCGUACUGAAAACCGACACAGGUGGUCAGGUAGAGAAUACUCAGGCGCUUGAGAGAACUCGGGUGAAGGAACUAGGCAAAAUAGCACCGUAACUUCGGGAGAAGGUGCGCUUACAGUAAUUGUAGUCCCUCGCGGAUGAAGGUGAAGUAAGUCGAAGAUACCAGCUGGCUGCAACUGUUUAUUAAAAACACAGCACUCUGCAAACACGAAAGUGGACGUAUAGGGUGUGAUGCCUGCCCGGUGCUGGAAGGUUAAUUGAUGGUGUUAUCGAAAGAGAAGCUCCUGAUCGAAGCCCCAGUAAACGGCGGCCGUAACUAUAACGGUCCUAAGGUAGCGAAAUUCCUUGUCGGGUAAGUUCCGACCUGCACGAAUGGCAUAAUGAUGGCCAGGCUGUCUCCACCCGAGACUCAGUGAAAUUGAAAUCGCCGUGAAGAUGCGGUGUACCCGCGGCUAGACGGAAAGACCCCGUGAACCUUUACUAUAGCUUGACACUGAACAUUGAAUUUUGAUGUGUAGGAUAGGUGGGAGCCUUUGAAGCAGUGACGCCAGUCAUUGUGGAGGCGACCUUGAAAUACCACCCUUUAACGUUUGAUGUUCUAACGAAGUGCCUGAAACGGGUACUCGGACAGUGUCUGGUGGGUAGUUUGACUGGGGCGGUCUCCUCCCAAAGCGUAACGGAGGAGCACGAAGGUUUGCUAAUGACGGUCGGACAUCGUCAGGUUAGUGCAAUGGUAUAAGCAAGCUUAACUGCGAGACGGACAAGUCGAGCAGGUGCGAAAGCAGGUCAUAGUGAUCCGGUGGUUCUGAAUGGAAGGGCCAUCGCUCAACGGAUAAAAGGUACUCCGGGGAUAACAGGCUGAUACCGCCCAAGAGUUCAUAUCGACGGCGGUGUUUGGCACCUCGAUGUCGGCUCAUCACAUCCUGGGGCUGAAGUAGGUCCCAAGGGUAUGGCUGUUCGCCAUUUAAAGUGGUACGCGAGCUGGGUUUAGAACGUCGUGAGACAGUUCGGUCCCUAUCUGCCGUGGGCGUUGGAUGAUUGAUUGGGGCUGCUCCUAGUACGAGAGGACCGGAGUGGACGCAUCACUGGUGUUCCAGUUGUCUCGCCAGAGGCAUUGCUGGGUAGCUAAAUGCGGAAGAGAUAAGUGCUGAAAGCAUCUAAGCACGAAACUUGCCAAGAGAUGAGUCAUCCCUGACUUUAAGUCAGUAAGGGUUGUUUAAGACUAAGACGUAGAUAGGUUGGGUGUGUAAGUGUAGUGAUACAUUGAGCUAACCAAUACUAAUUGCC